rnacentral:rRNA from 1 species
GCACAAGCGGUGGAGCAUGUGGUUCAAUUCGACGCAACGCGAAGAACCUUACCUGGGCUCGAAGCGCAGUGGACCGGGGUGGAAACAUCCCUUCCCCUUAAAAGGCUGCUGCGGAGGUGCUGCAUGGCUGUCGUCAGCUCGUGUCGUGAGAUGUUGGGUUAAGUCCCGCAACGAGCGCAACCCUUAUCCCUAGUUGCCAUCGGGUCAAGCCGGGCACUCUAGUGAAACUGCCUCGGAUAACGAGGAGGAAGGUGGGGAUGACGUCAAGUCCUCAUGGCCUUUAUGUCCAGGGCUACACACGUGCUACAAUGGUCGGUACAAACCGUCGCAAACCCGUGAGGGGGAGCUAAUCGGAAAAAGCCGGCCUCAGUUCGGAUUGGAGUCUGCAACUCGACUCCAUGAAGCUGGAAUCGCUAGUAAUCGCGGAUCAGAACGCCGCGGUGAAUACGUUCCCGGGC